rnacentral:rRNA from 1 species
UACGUAGGGUGCAGGCGUUAAUCGGAAUUACUGGGCGUAAAGCGUGCGCAGGCGGUUUGCUAAGACAGGUGUGAAAUCCCCGGGCUUAACCUGGGAACUGCGCUUGUAACUGGCAAGCUAGAGUGUGGCAGAGGGGGGGUGGAAUUCCACGUGUAGCAGUGAAAUGCGUAGAGAUGUGGAGGAACACCGGUGGCGAAGGCGGCAUCCUGGACCGGCAUUGACGCUGAGGAGCGAAAGCCAGGGGAGCAAACGGGG